GCCCCUGUAGCUCAACAGCAUAGAGCAUAGGUUUCCUAAACCUAGGGUUCCGGGUUGAAGUCCCGGCAGGGGUA
rnacentral:tRNA from 1 species